rnacentral:rRNA from 1 species
AGUGAACGCUGGCGGUAGGCCUAACACAUGCAAGUCGAACGGCAGCACAGUAAGAGCUUGCUCUUACGGGUGGCGAGUGGCGGACGGGUGAGGAAUACAUCGGCAUCUACUUUUUCGUGGGGGAUAACGUAGGGAAACUUACGCUAAUACCGCAUACGACCUACGGGUGAAAGCAGGGGAUCUUCGGACCUUGCGCGAUUGAUUGAGCCGAUGUCGGAUUAGCUAGUUGGCGGGGUAAAGGCCCACCAAGGCGACGAUCCGUAGCUGGUCUGAGAGGAUGAUCAGCCACACUGGAACUGAGACACGGUCCAGACUCCUACGGGAGGCAGCAGUGGGGAAUAUUGGACAAUGGGCGCAAGCCUGAUCCAGCCAUACCGCGUGGGUGAAGAAGGCCUUCGGGUUGUAAAGCCCUUUUGUUGGGAAAGAAAAGCAGCAGGUUAAUACCCCGCUGUUCUGACGGUACCCAAAGAAUAAGCACCGGCUAACUUCGUG